CCCCUUUCAGGGUUACACCUGGAGAGUUUCCAGUACUCUACCAGUACAAUAGACUAUGGGAGGGAGAGUCAAGCAGAGGCAUAUACAUUCCAUUCCUAGCUUGGGCAGUGGCUAGUGAGUGGAAGGCAAUCUGCUACAAGU
rnacentral:snoRNA from 2 species